UACGUAGGGUGCGAGCGUUGCCCGGAUUUAUUGGGCGUAAAGGGCGCGUAGGCGGCCACGCACGUCCGUUAUGAAAUCGCCCGGCUCAACUGGGCGGGGUCAGCGGAUACGGUGUGGCUAGAGCAAGCUAGGGGGCAAUGGAAUUCCCGGUGUAGUGGUGGAAUGCGUAGAUAUCGGGAGGAACACCAGUGGCGAAGGCGGUUGCCUGGAGCUUUGCUGACGCUGAUGCGCGAAAGCGUGGGGAGCGAUCCGG
rnacentral:rRNA from 1 species